rnacentral:rRNA from 1 species
AUUGAACGCUGGCGGCAGGCCUAACACAUGCAAGUCGAACGAGUGGCGGACUGGUGAGUAAUUUCUGGGAAACUGCUUGACGUCGGGGGUAAACAACUGGAAACGGUAGCUAAAACCGCAUACCAUCACAUAUGCCCAGAUGGGAUUAGCUAGUUGCUGGGGUAACGGCACACCAAGGCGACGAUCCCUAGCUGGUCUGAGAGGAGGACCAGCAACACUGGAAUGGAUACACGGCCAAGACACCUACGGGAGGCAGCAGUGGGGAAUAUUGUGCAAUGGGCGCAAGCCUGAUGCAGCAAGGCCGCGGGGAUGAAGAAGGUCUUCGGGUUGUAAAGUACUUUCAGUGGGGAGGCGUUACCCGGAGAAGAAGCACCGGCUAACUACGUGCCAGCAGCCGCGGUAAUAC